rnacentral:rRNA from 1 species
GUUAGUGGCGGACGGGAGCGUAAUGCAUGGGUAACGUACCCCCGGCUCAGGAAUAGCCUUGGGAAACUGAGGGUAAUACCUGAUGAUCCCGGUUGGCCGCAUGGUUGAUCGGGCAAAGUUGCGGCGGCCGGGGAGCGGCCCAUGUCGUAUCAGCUAGUUGGUGAGGUAACGGCUCACCAAGGCGACAACGCGUAGCGGGACUGAGAGGUCGGCCCGCCUCAUCGGGACUGAGACACUGCCCGGACACCUACGGGUGGCUGCAGUAACGAAUAUUGGGCAAUGGGCGAAAGCCGGACCCAGCAAUGCCGCGUGCAGGACGAAGUCCCUCGGGAUGUAAACUGCUGUCAGGGCUUAGCAAGCGUUGAGCAGACCCAAAGGAAGCCUCGGCUAACUCCGUGCCAGCAGCCGCGGUAAUACGGAGGAGGCAAGCGUUGUUCGGAAUUACUGGGCUUAAAGAGCGUGUAGGCGGCCCGAUCAGUGCCUUGUGAAAUCCCUCGUCUCAACCGAGGAACUGCUGGGCAUACUGUCGGGCUUGAGGUCGGUAGAGGUGCCUGGAACUCUAGUGGAGCGGUGAAUGCGUAGAUAUCUGGAGGAACGCCGGAGGCGAAAGCGGGUCACUGGGCCGAUUCUGACGCUGAGACGCGAAAGCGUGGGUAGCAAACAGGAUUAGAUACCCUGGUAGUCCACGCCGUAAACGAUGCACACUAGGUAUGAGAGGUUUUGACGCCGAUCGUGCCGAAGCAAAAGUGUUAAGUGCGCCGCCUGGGGAGUACGGCCGCAAGGCUAAAACUCAAAGGAAUUGACGGGGGCUCACACAAGCGGUGGAGCAUGUGGAUCAAUUCGAAGCAACGCGAAGAACCUUACCUGGGUUUGACAUGCUUGGAUGCCCUCUGGGAAACCGGAGUAAGCUGCCUUCGGGUGAAACUUGCACAGGUGCUGCAUGGCUGUCGUCAGCUCGUGCUGUGAAGUGUCGGGUUAAGUCCCUUAACGAGCGAAACCCUUGUCGCUAGUUGCCAGCGGGUAAUGCCGGGGACUCUAGCGAGACUGCCGGUGUCAAACCGGAGGAAGGUGGGGAUGACGUCAAGUCCUCAUGGCCUCUAUGCCCAGGGUUGCACACGUGCUACAAUGGCGGCUACAAACCGACGCGAGACCGCGAGGUGGAGCAAAUCGCUCAAAACCCGCCCCAGUUCAGAUUGCAGGCUGCACCCCGCCUGCAUGAAGGUGGAAUCGCUAGUAAUCGCGUAUCAGCUACGACGCGGUGAAUGUGUUCCUGAGCCUUGUACACACCGCCCGUCAAGUCAUGGAAGCCGGGAG